rnacentral:rRNA from 1 species
ACAGAGUUCAUGCCCUUACGGGUAGAUCUCCCACUCUAUGUUAUUAUUACUUUGUUGCUUUGGCGGGCCGUCAGGCUCACGCCCGGCUACCGGCCCCGGCUGGUAAGCGCCCGCCAGAGGACCCAAAACCCUGAUUAUUAGUGUCGUCUGAGUACUAUAUAAUAGUUAAAACUUUCAACAACGGAUCACUUGGUUCUGGCAUCGAUGAAGAACGCAGCGAAAUGCGAUAAGUAAUGUGAAUUGCAGAAUUCAGUGAAUCAUCGAAUCUUUGAACGCACAUUGCGCCCCUUGGUAUUCCGAGGGGCAUGCCUGUUCGAGCGUCAUUACAACCCUCAAGCCUGGCUUGGUAUUGGGCUUCGCCACUCACCUGGCGGGCCUUAAAAUCAGUGGCGGUGCCGUCGAGGCCCUGAGCGCAGUAAAUAUCCUCGCUAUAGGGACCCGGCGGUUGCUGGCCAUCAACCCCCAACUUUCUAAGUUUGACCUCGGAUCAGGUAGGGAUACCCGCUGAACUUAA